AGCCCAACUCGGGGCUCAGUCCUACAACCCUGGGGUCCUGACCUGAGCCAAAAUCAAGAGUCAGAUCCUCAACGCUCAACCUAUUGAGCCAGCCGGUGUCCUCAUAGUGCACAUUUCACGGGGUACGUUUCACGAACACUACUAUAUAGAAGGCAACGGAUGCUACAUUACUCCCUCACCUGGUCACUUUCUUCAGGUGGCUUCCAGGAGACAGCUCAUCCCUCCCUGGUGCUCCUCCUUGUCUACUUGGCUCGUUCCUCCUCUUCCUCCCUACUCCUCUGUGCUGGCUGGCAUGCCCUCAGACCCCACCUGAGAAUUUUGUAUCAUUUAACUCUUCAAGGGGUCUCAGCCAAUGCUGUGGCCGUAAGAGCCGAUGACUUCCAAAUGCAUCUCCAGCUUUGGCUUCUGGGAUCCAGUUUUAUGACAGCCUCACCCAGCUUCACUGCUGCCUUGGCAUCUCAACCUGGAUGUCCCACAGGCAUUGCAGAUGCCUCCGAGCACCCUUGUCUUUCUCCGUCUGCUCCCUCUGUUCGCCCUCCGUGAAAAGCGCCAACACUCACUCGGCCCCCCAAAGUGGAGGUCAUACAUGAGGGCGGAGAGUCUGACCCGUCACUCAGUUCUGACCCCAUGUCCAGCCCAGGGGUGCUGGAGGGAGACAGAGGGCCGUUCUAUAAUGCUGUUGUGUGGCCACUCCCAUGCUGGGUUUGGGCAGGUGGGGACAGAAGUGGGAAGGAGGCAGGGGGAGUGCAGUCCCUGCCCUCAGUGGAUUUCUGGGUGACAGGGAGUCCAGACCCUUCACUCUUCAAGGCAGUGCCCACUGGACUCGGGGCCAGACCCUCAUAGACAAGGAGGGUGCUGGGUCUGCAAAGCAGGGAAGGUGUCCUAGAGGAGGCAGGACUUGGGGUUGAACAGAAUGAAAGAGGCUUGGGCGGAAGAGGAAAGGCAGCAGGUGUCUCUGGGGACAGAUCAGGGGCAGCAGGGCCAGAGAAAAGGAGUCACAGUAGACCAGAAAGGGCUGAGCAGGCCCUGAUUGGGCACCCCAACUCUGGGCUGGGCCUUAUGUGUGGUGUUUUGAGUACUGCUUAUGGACUUAGGAGGUCGAUAUCUCUCAGAGGAGGAAAAGGUUAAGUCACAGGUGGUUGAGGGCCAGCAGAGAUCCGGACCUGGGUCCCUCCUCUCCAAAGCCUGACCUCGCCUUGUUCCAUUGUCCCAUUCCCUAGGUCACCAGGCCUUGGAAGGUCCCACAUCUUAUAGAUGGUGGAAGCAAGCAGAGGUUUGCAGGAAACACGAUUACCAGCCGUGGAAAGCCGGUAUCUCGUCCCACAUAGAAAGUAACAACCGCAACAAAAAUACAUAAAAGAACAAAACAAAGUAACGGCACCCACGAUGCUUUGAGGAACUCCCCUGCCCCCACACCCAGGCUAAGCACCCACCUCUCCCAGACCUCAGGGCUCAGUGUGUGCUCCGGCCCUGGCCAGAUGGAGUCUCCCAGCACCCUGGCCUCAGGAAUCCCAGCCAUGGAUUCUUCCCUGGGACAUCAUCCACAGGUGCUAGAAAGCAGGAUGUUGGGUCACCGAAGCUGGGCUCACCGCAGCCACGUUCGUGGGUAAAACCAAGCAGGGACAAGCAGAGAUACAGGAUGCACAGAGUGUGCUGGCGGCAUGGGGAUUUAAAUCUGCUCCAGAGUGUGGAGCAGACAGACGCACGAAUGCUCCCCACAGACGAGAAGGCCCCCACCACGGGAGGCCAACUGAUGACAGUGACAUUUACUGAGUGCCAAGUACAUGCCAGGCACAAUCUGAAGUGCCCUUUGCAUCCUGGCUAAUUCUUUCUUCGUGACGUAGGCACUAACAUUAACCCCAUUUUCCAGAUGAGGAAACUGAGGCGCGAUAGGUUGAGUCAGAGCUUCCCAAGAAGUGUCAAGGCACCAAAGAAAAUAGACGCACAUAGAGGUAAGUGGACAAGGUGGGUCGUGACCAAACAUGGCUGGUGCGGCCCCUCAGGCCACCCUGGGUCCGUGUGGCUGGCUCUGACCUGGGGACCCCCGUCCACUUGGGACCCAUCUGCAUGCUUCAGGCUACCUGCCUGGCUGGGAACUGGACAAGCUGGGACCGGAAAGCAGGGGAUCGCAGAGCCCAUCCCCUAAUCUGAGCACAAAGACACAGGAACUGCAGCUUGUUCCCAACCAUCCAAGGGAAGCAGCACACACAGCCCUAGACUCUGGGACUCUUGAGGACCGAGUCUAGCUUGGGGGUUGCCCUGUCCUACUGGGUGACCUUGGGAAGAUCGCUGUCCGUCUCUGGGCUCCAGCUUCUUCUCUGAAGGACACGUUUGCUGUACACAUUAGCCUGUACGGUCAAGAUCCCGCUCCUUGGUAGGCACAUGAAGUCCCAGACUCUGGGCCGUCAGCCAUAAGGAUGGGCUCAGCUCUGCUCUCAGAGAAAUCUGGCUGGGGGCAUGCUUUGCCUGAGGGGAGACUUCUCUGCGGAGAUACUAUUGAGCAAAGAACGCCGCAGCUCUUCUGGCCUCGCUGUCUCCAUUCCUGGGACUGAAAAGGCCUCACUCCUUCUUCGGGCCCUUCUGCGCCUCCGUGACCCCGCUCUGGCCAUUGUGUUCACAUAGACAUCCACUGGUGAGUGGUUUCUCAGCAGGCUUUGCUUUUUUGGAUAGAAAAGAACAGAUGUCCCCCUUCUUUCUGCCUUUAAUAGAGUUGUGGAGGCCACAUGUCUGAAGGAACAUUGCAAAGACUCAUUUGCCCCAGCUCCACGUCGGGGUCUGAGCUCUCAGGGCAGAGCCUGCUUGAGAUUCUCUCCCUCUCUCUCUGCCCUUCCCCCGCUCGUGUACGUGUGUGCACACUCUCUCUCUCUUGCUCAAAAUAAAUAAAUAAACUUUAAAGUCUGUUUCAGCCCGCAAAUCCCAAGGUUCCAUCCUUGCAGAAAGCUCUGUCUUGGAACAGAGAAUAGCAGGUCUGAGGCUCCCCCCCGAGCUCCUGGCAAGGCCUCCAGGUAUGGGACUGGGGGUCUGUCCCUUCUCAGGGGCUGGAGGUCAGGCCCUGCGUUCUCUUUCCCUGGACCCAGAUAUAUGCUCCUCACCUGUCUCCUUGCCUCUCGCCACCCCUCCUGCCUCAUCUGUCUUCCAGACACAGCCAGAGGGGUCUCCGUGAAGCUCAAAUCUGAUUAGGCCUUUCUUGCUUAAGCCCUUCUCUGUCUCCCUUGUUCUCUGGGGUAAAGGUCUCAUGCUCAGUCUGGUGCUCAGGGUCCUUGGCCACCCCCUGCCUGCCUUCCAGCCUCCUCUCCUGCCACUUUCCACUUCAAACCCUCUCCCACCGUAAGUCUCCCUGUUCGCAGGAGGCACCCAAGCCCUUCACAUCUCUAAGCCUUUGUACUCACUGCAACCUGCAUUUGCAAUGCCUGAGAAAACUCCUACUCAUCCUUCAAUACCCAGGUUGGAUGAUGGAAUAACCCCAAGAGAUGCCCUGACCCCCUUGCCUCAUUCAUGCCUCCUCCGUGCUUGUCUACACUCUGCAACUUGGUUAGGGUCCUUAGGGUCCUGUCUACAAUCAGCUGAGACUGUCCAUUGUUUGCUGCUGGUCUCCAGACAGAAGGCUCUCUAGGGGCUGGGCUCUGUUACUAUUAACACCAACCACCAUGACCGUUACUAUUUAUGGGGGGUACUGUGAUAAGGGAUCAAUAAUAAUAGUAACAUGAUAUUCAUUAAGCUUUCUCUCAAUGCUAAGCGCUGUUCUAGGUGCUUUAUACAUGUUAGCAUUCUGAAUCUUCAAAUACCCCAGGAAAUGGGUAUUAUUAGUAGUAAUAGUCUCGUCAUCCCCAUUUUACAGAUGAGGAAACUGAGGCUCACAGAGAGAAAGGGAAGGGCUCCAAGUCCCACAGAAAAUAUGUGGAAAAGCUGGGAUUCAAACGCAGGUCAGGCUGGGCCUCCUGAGCCUGCCCCCACCCCCCGUCC